rnacentral:rRNA from 2 species
UACGAAGGGUGCAAGCGUUACUCGGAAUUACUGGGCGUAAAGCGUGCGUAGGUGGUUUGUUAAGUCUGAUGUGAAAGCCCUGGGCUCAACCUGGGAACUGCAUUGGAAACUGGCUUACUAGAGUGCGGUAGAGGGGUGCGGAAUUCCCGGUGUAGCAGUGAAAUGCGUAGAUAUCGGGAGGAACAUCCGUGGCGAAGGCGGCACCCUGGACCAGCACUGACACUGAGGCACGAAAGCGUGGGGAGCAAACAGG